CACUGUUACAAUUUCUACAUAUUUGCCAUAUAUUUUGUAGCUUUGGGGUUUUGUGCUUCAUUUUGCAUCCAGUACUGUAAAAUGUACCGAUGUUUGUCACACAAUGCCAUCAGGGAGGCAUUUGAUCAGCCUCAAAUAUUGAUAAGUUUUACUUCGUCUUUUAAUUAAAUCCAAAAUGUUACUUUUAACUUUUAGCAGUUAAGUAAAUACAAGCCAUUGUUUGAUGCGGUCUAGAUAGAAGAAAAACGGUGAAAUCCAAAUCUAGUAGGGCUAGCCUAUGAUUCUGCAAUUGAAAUCCUCAUAGGUGGUGGUCUAGGUGGGAAAUGUGCCGAUGUUAACGUCGUGCCCCAAGAUGGGUUUAUUGAUGAUAAUCUUCGGGGAAACUAUCCAGGGAUCCACCUGCUGAAGGAUGCUGGGCUGUGGAAGUAGGAGGAGCAGGAAGACGACGUCAUGCACGCGACCUGUCGUCGUAACGCGGAAGAGACGGAGGAGGAAAGAAGUCUCCACGUCACUGAGGUGUAAUAUUGGUGUCAGUACAACACAAGGUGUUAGCUACCCCAGGACGCUUUCAGUACCGUUGUACAAUAUAAUUACAGACUCCUUCCUGUAGGUUAUCCCGUGUGAGCCCAAAGCGAGGAUCGUGUAUUUCGGCACUGAGUGGCCUCGGUAGAGACACCGGGACUCCGCUGAAGAGUGCCGCGCUGCUCCAGCUUCUAAAUGGGUGAAUCGGGCUCACGCCGUUCCACUCUUGUAUCCCGCCUGCCAAUCUUUCGCCGGAGCAGCAGUAAGAGGCAGGAGUCUCUCCCCUCCUCUCCAUCUUCAGGAGGAGUGGGAAAUGGCGUCCAUACCUCUUCACCUUCCAGCACCAACUCCAGUUCUGGUAGUACUGGGAAACGUCGGAGCCUUUUCAGCACUUCAUCUCUCAGUUUCACAUCUAAACAGAACAGUGAUCCACGUGUCCAGCCAAUCAACCUAAACCUCACUCCUCCACUGACACAGGGCACGGAUGCAAAUGGAAAUAACAAGCAGACGAUACCAACAUCUGUAUCGACAGGGUUCAUUGAUGGUGGUGGACGCCCCAAGUCACGCCACUCAUUUGGGUUUGGCAGCCACAGGCAAAAGAAGAUCACACAAUCUCAGACCAAGGAUUUUGACAAAGGAUCCUCUUCCUCCUCAACAGCCAAUCGAAACGUGUUUAUAAACUGCAUCAGCAGCUCAGGGACCAAUGAGGGCGAUGACUCUGGGUUCCUUGAUGACUACAGUGGCAGCAGUAAUAACAACAAACGGUCUUCACGCCAGAAGAAACAGUCGCUGCUGCCUAAAUCUUUCUCAGUUCACCACCGUUUCUCCCGGACCUCUGAUCACCACAGACCUCCGGAAGUCAAUCUGGAACCUCCAAGCUCUACCACCAUGGCUCCAGGGCCAGGAGGGCUUACUCCAGGGUCAUGGCCAGGUGAGCUGCUUGGUACCGUUGGUCAGAGCUCUCUCCAGUCCCCAAUGAUAUCAGAGGACCAAACCACAGCAAUCACCCCUUCAGAGUUCAUCCCUGUCACGGAGGAUUCUGUAUCUGAGGUGGAUGCACUGCCAGCUCCCAGCCCGGGAUCUGGUUUAUCCUCUGGACCUGCCUCUGUGCCCGGUCCGGCUGCUGACACAGCUCCCCCUGACCCUCCACCUGCUACAGAGAACUUCAGUGUGGCAGUCUCCGCCUCCCAGGUUUUCUUCACUCCAGUCCAGUCCAGCACUGAAAAACCUUUACUCCCUGACACCAGCACAGCCAACAACACAGACUACGAUACUGCUGUUUCCCUCUCAGAGCCAGAGACAGCUGUACCUUGUCCACCUCUGCUGGAACAAUCGCUGGAAGAGAAGAGGGAGAGGGAGGAGGAGAGAAAGGAAGCGAGUGAAGUGGUGUCAGCAGAGGAGAGCAAGGAGUUGGUGGAAGACAGGAAAGUGGGUUACCAGACAGAAACCACAAGUGAGAGCGAGGCAUGUGUGGUACGCAGCGAGGGUUGCCACUCCAACCCAGAGCAAUCGGAAAGGAGACCAAGGCACACGCUCUCUUUUCAAGAAAGAGGAAGUUUCUGUGGGUGCCAUGAACCCAGGUCCUCUCACUUGAGGAAACCACAUGCAGCUUCUCUGUGUAGUAGUGUCAGCCCUUAUCAUGAGGUGAUGCGGAUGGAGAGGCGUCUGCGAUCCUCAUCUGAAGGGGCUGGUGGGCCGCGUAUCCAUGGAAACCACAGAGAUGCCCCAGGCAUGGAGGGAUGUGGUCUGCUUAAACACAGAAACAACUCCUCGUCAUCCAAACUGGGAAGUCUGGAUGUUUUAAACAACCUGGGCUCCUCAGAGCUGGAUGAAGAUGAUCUUAUGCUAGACCUGGACCUUUCCGAUGAUCAGCGACAUCGACAUGUGUCCAGAGAAGACUCCAGCCAGUCCCUGGCCUCUUGUCUCAACCUGCCCUCCCCUAUGGACCCAACAGGAGAGCGCAUCCUGGGGAAAGAAAACAGUCAGAGGGUGCCCAGCCGUCCAACCAGCCUGCUGCCUGCUGAUUGGAACUUGGGGUUGGGUUUGGGGAAGGAAGAAGAGUCCUUACCCCCAGCACUGGAGACGCUUCCAUUCAGACUGAUGCAGCAGGACUGCACUGCUGUCAAGACCUUGCUUUUAAGACUGAGACGGACACUGCAGGAGAGCACAGAGACAAGUCCUGCCAGCAGCCUCCAGUCUCUACCCAUUAGCCCUUGCAGCGAAAAGUCUCUCCCAUUUAAGGAUCUUGGCAGAGAGGAGGCCUUGAUGCAACAACUGAGGGAGAAAGAUGAGCUGAUUCUCAAGCUCCAGAGUGAACUGGAGAGUGCCAAAGCUGCCCUGAGGAUGAAAGACUGCCAAAUGACUGACCGCACAACACAGACAGAACACAUGGGGCCAGAGUAAAGCAGCAUAUGACGAAGGAAUGAAACAGAUUUCCAGUAUUUUUUAAUUGGAUGAUUUAGUUUGGCAGGCCAUAGACUAUGUAAUGGUCAAAUCAGCCUCUAGGAAGGGAUAAGCUGACAACUGGCCCAGGUCUCACUCGUCUCGAGUGGCUCUCACUCCCUCUGCCAAGUCUCCUCUCUUCUCUCAGAGAUGGAAGUCAAAUUCCAUCUACAUAAUCUAACAACAUGUGUGAGAAUGCAUUCAAAGAGAGGAAAAAGAAUGAAGACAGUGAUCGAUACCAAGACCGCCACUUUAGACUAUUGAGACACUAUUUUCACUGUUCACUGACUUGAGCAAAGAUUGAAGUAGGUAGUUUUUAACUUCAACAGAAUAAAAUGCUGAUUUGAAAUCUGAUUCUCUUUAACACGCUCCAUACUAAUA